rnacentral:rRNA from 1 species
UAAACUAGGAUUAGAUACCCUAUUAUUUAAAAUGUAAAUUUAUUAACUAAAUUAGUAAUAGUUAUAUUCUUGAAAUUUAAAGAAUUUGGCGGUAUUUUAGUCUUUUCAGAGGAACCUGUUCUAUAAUCGAUAGUCCACGAUUAAUUGUACUUAUUUUAAUAGUUUGUAUACCGUCGUAGUGGAAUAUUUUAUAAGAAAAAAAAAUAUUCAAUAUAUUUUAUAAAAAUAGAAAUCAGAUCAAGGUGCAGCUUAUAAAUAAGAAGAAAUGGGUUACAAUAAAUUUAUUUAUAUGGUUUAGAAAUUGAAAAAGUUUUUUUUAAAGUGGAUUUGAAAGUAAUAUAAUUAAUUUAAGUUAUAUGAUUUGAGCUCUAAAAUAUGCACAUAUCGCCCGUCACUCCUAUUUUUAAAAUAGGAUAAGUCGUAACAAAGUAGGUGUACUGGAAAGUGUACCUAGAAUCACAAAUUAGAGCUUGUUAUAAAGUAUUUUAUUUACAUUAAAAAGUUAGUUGUGAAAAUCAAUUUAAUUUGAAUAAAAUUAUUUAUUAAAAUUAAUUAUUUAAUAAUUUUUAAAAAAAAUAAUUUUAGGUUUUAUUAUAAUUUUAUAAAAAAUAGUAAUCAUGAUAAUGAAUUAGUAUUGUAAAAGAAGAAUUGAAAUAUAUGAAAAUUUAUAUAUUUAAAAGAAAAAUUAAUUUUUUGUACCUUGUGUAUCAGGGUUUAUUAAAUAAAAAUUAUAAAUUUUAAUUUUCUCGAUUUUAAAAGAGUUAAAAAAUUAUUUAUUUUAUUGUAGCAUAAAUAUUUAAAAUAAUUUUUUAGUAAUGAAACGUUAUUCGUUUUUAAAUAUAUCUAGUUGUUUAAGAAAUAAAUUUAAUUUAGUUAUUUAUUUAUAUUAAGUUAAUUGGUUAAUUUAAUGUAAUAAAUAUUUAAUAUUUAAAGGGAUAAGCUUUUAAAUAAAUUUUUAUAAAAAAUAUUAAUAAUAUAAAAAAGUGUAGAAUUAGAAUUAUUUAUCAUUAAUAGUAUGUUAUAAUUAGUUUUUAUAUUAAUAUAAUUUAUAUAUUUUUUAAAUAUUUUAUUAAACUGAUGUAUAUAAUUGUAUAUUAUAUUUAAUAAUGAUAAAAUUAGUAUAAUUUUUUGUAGUUGUAAUUUACUUUGUAAAGGUUAAAUAAAGGAAUUCGGCAAAAGUUUUUCCGCCUGUUUAUUAAAAACAUGGCCUUUUGAUUAUAAUUUAAGGUCUGACCUGCCCAAUGAAAUUUGAAUGGCCGCGGUAUAUUGACUGUGCGAAGGUAGCAUAAUAAUUAGUUUUUUAAUUGAAAACUGGUAUGAAUGGUUGGACGAGAAAAAAGCUGUCUCUAUUUAAUUUAAUUAGAAUUUUAUUUUUAAGUAAAAAAGCUUAAAUUUAUUUAAAAGACGAGAAGACCCUAUAGAGUUUUAUAUAAUUUGUAUAUUAGAAUUUGAAGAAUUAAUAUUUUAUUAUAUAAAUUAUAUUUGGUUGGGGUGACUAAAAAAUUUAAAUAACUUUUUUUAAAAAUUAAACAUUAAUUUAUGAGUAUUUGAUCCAUUAUUUAUGAUUAUAAGAUUAAAUUACCUUAGGGAUAACAGCGUAAUUUUUUUUGAGAGUUCUUAUCGAAAAAAAAGAUUGCGACCUCGAUGUUGGAUUAAAAUUAACUUUUGGUGUAGAAGCUAAAAAUGUUAGGUCUGUUCGACCUUUAAAAUUUUACAUGAUCUGAGUU